AUGACAUCCAUUUCGAAGACCAUGAGUUUGAGGUGGACGAGGAGGGUGAGGGAAUUGUCGAGGCACCGAAAGGAAGAUGGAAUUGACCGCUCCGAGAGAUCACUUCGAUCCCGAUGGUCGACAAUCAACUCGGAUUGUCAAAAGUGGGCGGCCGUACAAAAGGCAGUUGACAAGAUUAACCCAAGUGGCACAAAUGAGGAUGAUCGAGUAAGUGGCAUCUCAUAUAUGUUCAUCAUACUUGUUUUUGGUGACCAAAGUGCUAACUUGUUUUGUUUUUCUUGUAGUACAACAUUGCACAAAACUUGUUCAAAGAAGAGAUAA
rnacentral:rRNA from 1 species